AACUUUGCCUUUUCACCUUUAGCCUCAGGCUACUGCUGAACAUUUGGAAGGAAGUUGCAUUUGCAUUCUGGGGAAGAAAGAGGGAGCACCUGCAGUGUACAAGGCCCUUUAGAUCAGAACAUGGAAAGGACACGGUCUCUGUCCAAACAAGAUGUGCUCAGAGCAGGGCCACAGGGGAAAGUGAGCAAAACGAAAUGGGCACAUCAUCAUCACAAGCAACUGCUAUCAUUAGCAGCAAGGAAGCAAGACUAAUAACAUAGCCCAGCACCCUUUCUCCUGAGGAUGGAGGUACUUGCUGCCCUGUAUCUCCAUGGCCCCGGCCUGCCUCCCUGCACACUGAACCCAUAUACCAAGCACUCCCCUCCCUACUACAUCAGAGAUCUGCAAUUAGCAACCAGAGUUCCAGACAAACAGCUCAGCUCAACUGGGCAAAGAAGGGGUGAGGAAUAGAGGGCUGGGCAUGGGAGAGAGGAAGAGAGACAGUAAGAAGUGGAUAAAAUGAAAGUGUAAAUGAGGGGAAUGAGAAACAGCAUGAACAAGAAUGGGUUUGUGUAGAGGACAACA